AGCGGAGGAAAAGAAACUAACAAGGAUUCCCCUAGUAACGGCGAGUGAAGCGGGAAGAGCUCAAAUUUGAAAUCUGGUAGCCUUCGGUUGCCCGAGUUGUAAUCUAGAGAAGUGUUUUCCGUGCCGGCCCAUGUACAAGUCCCUUGGAACAGGGCGUCAUAGAGGGUGAGAAUCCCGUCCUUGACAUGGACCCCCGGUGCUUUGUGAUACACUUUCAACGAGUCGAGUUGUUUGGGAAUGCAGCUCAAAAUGGGUGGUGAAUUCCAUCUAAAGCUAAAUAUUGGCGAGAGACCGAUAGCGAACAAGUACCGUGAGGGAAAGAUGAAAAGCACUUUGGAAAGAGAGUUAAACAGUACGUGAAAUUGUUGAAAGGGAAACGAUUGAAGUCAGUCAUGCUCUUGGGACUUACCUCCCUUGAGUGGGGUCAACAUCAGUUUUGAUCGAUGGAUAAAGGCACGGGGAAGGUAGCACUCUCGGGUGAACUUAUAGCCUCGCGUCAUAUACAUUGAUUGGGACUGAGGAACGCAGCAUGCCUUAUGGCCGGGAUUCGUCCACGUACAUGCUUAGGAUGUUGACUUA
rnacentral:rRNA from 1 species